GAUGAACGCUGGCGGCGUGCUUAACACAUGCAAGUCGAACGGACAGGCCCUGCUUUUGUUGGUUUCUCGAUUGCCGAACGCGUGAGUAACACGUGAGUAACCUGCCCUUGACUUUGUGAUAACUUCAGGAAACUGGGGCUAAUACCCGAUAUGAUCUCCUGCUGCAUGUUGGUGGUUGGUAAGUUUCGGCGGUUGGGGAUGGACUCGCGGCUUAUCCGCUUGUUUGUGGGGUAGUGGCUUACCAAGGCUUUGACGGGUAGCCGGCCUGAGAGGGUUACCGGGCACAUGGCGACUGAGAGAGGGACCAGAAUGGUACGGGAGGCAGCAGUGGGGAACAUGGCACAACGAGGGGACGCGUGAGGUAGAAGUGCCGGGAGCGGGAUGAUGGGUUACGGGUGGUAAACAGAUGUCGAAUGAGACGAAGAGGGAGUGACGGUAAUGAGUAAAGAAGCAACGGCUAACUACGUG
rnacentral:rRNA from 1 species